UCAUCGCAUCCUGGGGCUGUAGCAGGUCCCAAGGGUUGGGCUGUUCGCCCAUUAAAGCGGUACGCGAGCUGGGUUCAGAACGUCGUGAGACAGUUCGGUCCCUAUCCGGCGCAGGCGUAGGAUAUUUGAGAGGAGCUGUCCUUAGUACGAGAGGACCGGGAUGGACGGACCACUGGUGCACCUGUUGGCAUCCAAUGCCAUGGCAGGGUAGCCAAGUCCGGCAGGGAUAAACGCUGAAGGCAUCUAAGCGUGAAGCCCCCCUCAAGAUGAGAUAUCCCAAUAAGUAAGACCCCUUGAAGACGACGAGGUAGAUAGGGCCAAGGUGGAAGUGCAGCAAUGUAUGGAGCUGAUGGCUACUAAUCGGUCGAGGGCUUAUCCUGA
rnacentral:rRNA from 1 species